CUACGGGUUGCUGCAGUGGGGAAUAUUGGACAAUGGGGGAAACCCUGAUCCAGCAAUGCCGCGUGUGUGAAGAAGGCCUGCGGGUUGUAAAGCACUUUCGGUUGGGAGGACUGCUUCUAGCACUAAUAUUGUUGGAAGUUGACGUUACCUUCAGAAGAAGCACCGGCUAGCUCCGUGCCAGCAGCCGCGGUAAUACGGAGAGUGCAAGCGUUAAUCGGAAUUACUGGGCGUAAAGCGCGCGUAGGCGGCUAGAUCAGUCGGGUGUGAAAGCCCCGGGCUUAACCUGGGAACUGCAUCCGAUACUGUCUAGCUUGAGUACAGGAGAGGAGAGUGGAAUUCCACAUGUAGCGGUGAAAUGCGUAGAUAUGUGGAGGAACACCAAUGGCGAAGGCAGCUCUCUGGCCUGAUACUGACGCUGAGGUGCGAAAGCGUGGGGAGCAAACAGGAUUAGAUACCCGUGUAGUC
rnacentral:rRNA from 1 species